rnacentral:rRNA from 1 species
GACGAACGCUGGCGGCGUGCUUAACACAUGCAAGUCGAACGGAAAGGCCCUGCUUUUGUGGGGUGCUCGAGUGGCGAACGGGUGAGUAACACGUGAGUAACCUGCCCUUGACUUUGGGAUAACUUCAGGAAACUGGGGCUAAUACCGGAUAGGAGCUCCUGCUGCAUGGUGGGGGUUGGAAAGUUUCGGCGGUUGGGGAUGGACUCGCGGCUUAUCAACUUGUUGGUGGGGUAGUGGCUUACCAAGGCUUUGACGGGUAGCCGGCCUGAGAGGGUGACCGGCCACAUUGGGACUGAGAUACGGCCCAGACUCCUACGGGAGGCAGCAGUGGGGAAUAUUGCACAAUGGGCGGAAGCCUGAUACAGCAACGCCGCGUGCGGGAUGACGGCCUUCGGGUUGUAAACCGCUUUCGCCUGUGACGAAGCGUGAGUGACGGUAAUGGGUAAAGAAGCGCCGGCUAACUACGUG